UUUAUUACUUUAUUAUAAACUAGGAUAAAAAUAAUGACGUAAACUGAAAAAACUAAUUAAAUUGAUCAAAUAACAAAAAAGUUAUAAGCAUUUAAAUAUUUCAGAUUAGACAGAGAUAGCGAUAAUAGUAUUAUGACGGCACUGUGUGCGAAUGCCAUAGUAGCUUCCUGCGGUUUCAUACAAAUUUUCGUUUUGCGAGAAAGGGAUAGAAGACCCUCCCACUCCAAAAUUAAGAUGCCUGUAACUUUGUAAAUCUUUGUUGGAUUUUAAUAUUUUUUUCAGCGUACGUCAUUAUUUUAUCCUAGUUUAUAAUAAAGUAAUAAUAUUUAUCACAUUCAAAAGUAGGAAAAUACCCAAUUCUACGGGUUAGCGG